rnacentral:lncRNA from 1 species
UAGACAUCUGAAAAUUCAGCUGAAGAUAGUUUUAGCAGCAUGAUGUAAACUCAAUCGAAGGGGUUGACGCAGUGUAUGAAAAACCUUUCCUGUGAUCUUGGCGCGGAGCAAAAUUUGUACUGAUUUUACCGGGAAAAAUCAAUCAAUGACAGCAUGCCCAACAAUGUCUUGUGUGAAUAUGUUACUGCCUGAUAUUCACAUGUUAGCAGAAUGAGAAUAACCAACCAAACUCCAAUGAGCAGAUUGUUAAAGUAACAGCCACUGGUGGUGUGAAAAUCCUGAAAUCUGCUUCAGUCACUUUGCCUUGUUUACAGUUGAGUCUGUUGUUGUGAUCUGUACCCAAUGCAUGUACACAAUCAUCAAAUUAUUAGUUUUUUUACCAAUGUGUGCUCGAUGUAAUCAUCAUGUAUUCCCUCCUUCCAAAAUACGAGUCAUAUAUAUUAGUUUUGUCUUAAUUUGAACUUACAUCAACACCUACAAUACCCAAUCAGUAUCAGUAGAUGCACCUGUUUCUGUAGUGUAUUUAUUUGGUAUUGCAAGUGCUGGUAUUUCUCUUUUUUUUUGCUGAACUUUUAUGUUUGACUUAAAGACAACUAAUACGACUUAUAUUUGGGACGGCGGAAUCAUGCUCUGCACAUGUUUUCAGUCAUGUACUCACACAUUAUUAUCAGUUUAUAUUUUGUUUCCCUAUGUUUUAGACACAUUUAUUUGAACUUGUUUGGGUGGUGGGUUCCAUCUUCCCAAGUUUAUAGCACCUUUUUGUUUUUUUUGUUAAUUUAAUGACGGAUUUUUCCUUGUCUCACUAGGUUUUCUGGCUCUUAUCAUUGACUACACCAUAUACUUCCUCCUUUUCUUUUUACUAUGCAUAUUAGAUUUCUCUAAAGUCAAAUUCGUAAAGUUCGUCCAAAUUUAAAUUAAAAAAUAUCAGGAUUUACCACCUCAAAUAAAUAUAAUCUGAACAUAUAGGAAGGAACAUAUAUUCCAUGAUGGAUUUGAUUAUAUUAAUUUUGUAUUGCAAAUGUUAUAUUUUUAAAAUAAAUUUGAUCCAACUUUGAAGAGUUCAACUUUAGACAGCGGUGUAAAAAGAAAAGAAAUAGAGGGAGUAUUGUAAUGGUGCUCUCUCCAGAGCUGUUCUUGCACCCUCAUGGGAGGCUGCCACAGUGCCACUGCUCUUCUCGAAGUGAAGCACAUCAUCACCUUUCCUUAUUGUGGGACCUUGUAGCAGUUUUCGUCGAGAAAUGAGUUGUUUGGAUUAAGGAGCUAGGUGAUUUUAGUUUCUUUUUCGAGCAUUCGGUUUCCCUUUAAAUUUGAUCAGAGAUUAUAUUCCCAAUUGUGAUUCAUGUGAACAUACUUUUGUUUUCUUAAUCAAAUAAUACUAGGGGAUGUGCAUAUCAUGAGAUCCCCUAAACCAUUCCUCUCUGCAUAUAUUCUAAGCUGGCACCAAUAAAAGAUUCCUAAUCAAGGCAGUGGAAAAACAGAAAGAAGAAGGGAAUUAAAACAUGACUUUCUUGUGCUUCCAACAAACAAACACGCUUUCCCUUUCUAAAAAGGNNNNNNNNNNNNNNNNNNNNNNNNNNNNNNNNNNNNNNNNNNNNNNNNNNNNNNNNNNNNNNNNNNNNNNNNNNNNNNNNNNNNNNNNNNNNNNNNNNNNNNNNNNNNNNNNNNNNNNNNNNNNNNNNNNNNNNNNNNNNNNNNNNNNNNNNNNNNNNNNNNNNNNNNNNNNNNNNNNNNNNNNNNNNNNNNNNNNNNNNNNNNNNNNNNNNNNNNNNNNNNNNNNNNNNNNNNNNNNNNNNNNNNNNNNNNNNNNNNNNNNNNNNNNNNNNNNNNNNNNNNNNNNNNNNNNNNNNNNNNNCCCGUCCCUUUCCUCAUCUCCAUCGCCAUUUCCCUCUCAUCCUCCACCAACUCUCAAUCUCCAAUGACAUUUCUUCUCCUAUGCUCGGUCUCCUCCCAACGCUCGAGAUCCUAGUAACACCCCCGCUCAUCCCACAACCUUGCCUUUGCGCAUAACACUUCUAAACCUACCCUUUGAUCUUUCAACUUAGUGUGUUAGGGUUUGAAUCUUGGCAUCCAUAACCAUAGCCGCCACCAAUCUACCGGGCCAUCUCUGCACCCGACAAUCCUUCUAUCAGUACUUGGCGUCUCUCCAUGCGACCGAUCCCAAUUACAGUUGGCUGGAGCCAUACCAAGAGUUUGAGGUAUGGCGGCGUUCUCGAUUUGGCACGGCAACAUCUGUACUAAUUUUACUAGAAAUAUUGAUCAAAUUGUAGUGCCUUUUUGGAUGGUUGAUUUAUUUUUGUUAAUUCAAUGUUUCCAUUCUUCUUUGUCUUAUGAGGCUUUCCACAUGUUUUUACGUGGCUAGUGAACUACAUCAUAUAUAUAUAUAUAUAUAUAUAUAUAUAUAUAUAUAUAUAUAUAUAUUGUACUUCUUUCAAAUUCAUCCCUACCACCAUCAUUGGAGCCUCACCACAACUCUUGAAGUGUAAGGACAUUAUAUGUCUUUCAUUGUUGUGUUACCUUAUAGCAGUUUGAUUGAGCCCCGGGUAAUUUGGAUUAAGAUGGAGCUAUGUGAUUCUAUUUCUCUGUAGGGUUUUGAAGCCUUUGAUUUCUCGAGAUUCUAUUUUCAAUUAUGAUUCACAUGGCCAUAAGUCAGUUCUUUUAUUAAAUAAUGUCAGGGGAUGUGUAUCUCUUGGGAUCUCCUCCACAAUCCCUCCAUGUGGUAGUUACUCUCAUGUCUCAUAUACUACCACCGGGUGGUAGUUAGCAUCAUAUCUUAUAUACUAGCAUGUGGUAGUAUAUAUAUAUAUUACUUUAUCAUUCUAUGUAUAUUCAUAUAAUAUAUCUAAGAUUUUUCAAAGUGAGUUAAAUGAAUAAAAUGCAUGUGAGUCCAUGGAUUUUAGUAUAAUUUUGAAAAUACCUUCAUAUUGGUAUGUAUAAAACAAUAUAAUAAAAACUAUUACAUUACUACCAUGUGUAGUGUUUUCCACAACCACACCUUAGUACACAUCUAACCCUCUACCACCAGUCAAAAAACAUCUAACUCUACUCUUGGAUCCGUCAACUCACUAUGUUAGGUUCUAGAUAUUUGGGGAUCCACAACCAUACAUGUCCUCAAUCUAACAAGUCAUAUAUAAUUCCUACAUCCCUUGCAAAAGGUCUUAGAAUCUCUCGUACAAUCUAUCCUGACUAUAGUAGCUAGGAACCAUAGCAAGAGUUGAAGUUAUAGCGGCGUGUUCUCGAUUUGGUAGUGAACUCUCAAGGAUGUGAUAAUCACAAGAAAGUUCCAUUUGUUAAGUCUUGCCAUUGCCAUCUUGUUUCUUCGGAGUUGUGCUCCUAGAUUUAGCAGAUUGGUUGUGUAUGUAGUGGCUAAAGUUGAUGGUUCUCUAUUCUGACCUUUUAUUUCCAUAUGGUAUUUGUUAUUCUUGUUUGCUCGAGUUCCAAUGGUAAAUGAUAAAAUUGCUGCAUUCUUAUAAUUUUUGUGAAUACUUAAACAAAAUACAUGUCAGUAGAUUUAUAGACGUUUUCACACAACAUAUAUGUCAUGGCCAUUUGGUGUCUUCAUACUUUGCCGUUGUCCAUAUGAUUUCUAUUGAUAAUUAUUUCGUAUAAACACAUGCAAGUACAUACCAGUAUCCGCUUAAUGGUAAGAAAAAAAUGUGAUGCAUCCACAUUCUAAUUUUAGGUAGUUCAUUGUCAAUAAAGCCUAUAUUUGAAAUCAUAUGCUGGCCAUUUGGGGCACAAUAAGUUUAGCAAAAACUAGAGUGGCAUGCACAUGUGAAUAUUGUUCCAAGUUUCAAGCUUCUUAUUUACAUUCCUCUAAGUGUGGUGGGAAAUUUGUUAGCAUGUUCCCCACAAUAUACCGGGGGUGAGCAUUAGGAGAUUCGAAGGAGUUUACUGUACAUAGAAGUAAUUUGUGGUUGUGUGAGUUAAACUACCUAUCUUGUGUUUUUUACCUUAUAUAAUAAGGAUGUCAUCAUGUGACAAAAACUUUCAUCUCAUUUUUUAUGUUCAAGAGUUUUCUGAAGAGGCCCACUUGGACUGUAGAAUUCCUAUAGGCUUUAUAAUCAAGAUCCAAGCUUUUUUUAUCCUUUUCUGUUUGACCAUUUCUUUGAAUAAAAAGAGUGAGUAUGUGAUCCCAUUUCUUAUGAAUUCAAGAGGCAUUACUGUUCCAACAUAUUCAAAGCACAUAUUCUGACUGUAGUUUGGUAGUCUGGAGCAGGAUUUCUCGCAAUAUUCGGAAGAAAACCUCCUCGAUGACUGCUCGUCAGAAGAAAUCUGACAACAUUGUGGUUUCUCCUAAAGUUGGAAUUAUCACUCGCGGCAGAAUGUCAAACGUAAAUGAUAUGGCUUCCUUGGAAACAAAUCACACUACGGUUCCAAGAGGUAUCUUGCUUACUAUCAUGUUGCAACUAUGAAGAUAAUUCUAAUGAAAAUAUUGCAUAUAAAUUAAUCUUUUGUCACAUAUGAUGAAAUAUCAGGACAUUGUGUGACACCUACCUUCGAAAUAACCGUGCAGUCGGACGAGGGGCUUAAUCUUUCUGUGGAUCUAAAUUCCACUCCAUCAGAGUACACUAAAAUAUAUUCACAACAACUUGGGGAUGUUUCUAGAGAGGCUCAACUUGAAGCUCCAACAGAAAAUGCAGAGGUAGAAGAUAUGGCUGUGGAAGACAAUAUAGGUUGUGGUGACAUGUUACCACCAGUUUCUAGAGGGGCAGAAUUUAAAGCCCAGGUAGAAAAUGAAGAGAGGGAAGAAGUUUUGAUGGAAGAAGAAAUAGGUUGUGCUGACAAGUUGAUAGUUACUGAAGGGACCCAACUUACACUUAGCAGGGACAAACAUGAAUCACCUGUGAAAACUGAACUAGUGGCUCAAGAAGUAGUAAUGCAAGAAGAUAUAGGUUGCGAUGAUAAUUUGCCAGGUUCAAACCAAGUGCUGAUCUCACAUGCCAAUCAAGAUGCUGGCUUUACAAAUCAUUCCCUUGACGAGGUCUUGAACCACACAAGCUCAACGCUACCAUCUAUUGGUUCGGUAAUUUCAUUGAACCAUUUAUAAUACUAUUUUUUCCAUUUGAUUCUACUAUAUACUUUACUUCCUUUCAUCAAAGAAAUAUCGUCUUGGGUACUUUUUUUAAUCCAUUUUUGAUACUGCCGCAACAGUGCAUGUUUCUUUUCACCAAACUAAACAUUUACUUGUUACUCCCUCUUAUCCAACAUAAGUGUAACUUUAAUUCAAACCCGCUGACACUUAUUAUGAAUCGGAGGGAGUACUAAUAAAAUGAAAAAGUUCAGCCUUUCAUUGUUUUUCCCUUCUUUGAGUCCGAUAGUAUUGCGAUUUGCUUACUAGGUGUUGUUGUCAGUUGAUCACUCUUAUCUUUUUGUUGUGAGUUUCAAAUUGUUUUCAUUUUUCUUGUUUAACAAGUAGGUCUCGGUCAGCAAAAGAGUGCAUCAUCCUGCCAUUAGAAGAAAAGAAAAAGAAAAACAGAAAUGAGACAUGAUUUUGGUAGGAAUUAAUCAUCUUCAUGAUAUAUAGACCGUAUAUGGUAAAAGAAUGCGCAUGUGCUUGUGCCUCGCUUCCACACGCUCGCACAACACUGGCCAUCUUUGUCAAAUUGUCCUCUUUCCACUUUCUUCCAUUCCCUUCACAAGUGAGCGCGUUCCCUUGACCCUAAUUAACCCACCUAGCUAGGCACCCAACCACCAUAGCGAGCCCGCAGAACCCUAGCUAGGUAUUGGCGAUCGAGGCAUAAUCAUUUAACCCCCGGACAUGACGAAGAUGGUAUCGGAGAUGAAGGGGGUGACUCCGUGGGCACAGGAGCAGCCCGACACGGCCACAGAAGAGCAACUCAUCGUCGUGCAGGAGGUGAGUGGAUCACGCAUACACGUAGUUCUUUCUGGUUGGAUAGUUGGUAGAUCUGAUGGUGGUUUACGCAGACACUCAUAUUGCUUGGCUUUGGCUGCUCUAGCGGAUAGAUCGGACAGAGUUAAUUCUUGUUGUUGGGCUGCACUAGUCAAUCUAAAUCUGAUCGUGGUAGGGGAUCGAUAGAUCUGAGAUGAAUCAGACAUAGAAAUGCUCACACACGACUAGUUUGAUUUGAUUAUUACUUGAUUGUGCAACUAUGGGAGGUCCUCGGCGUCCGAAUUUUGGUGCCGCAGCUUAGCUCGAGUGCAUCCUAGUUGGUCUUCUGACGCGUCCUGUUGGUGGCGGCUGUCCGGGCAUACCCUCCGCAAGUGGUGGCGGCGAGGCACCGACGAGUAGAAAGCAAGGAUGGGCCGGGUGCAGGAGGAAGAAGGUGGUGGGCCUAAAAGAUAUACUCCCUCCGUCCGGAAAUACUUGUCAUCAAAAUGAAUAAUGUAUCUAGACAUAUUUUAGUUCUAGAUACAUCUCUUUUUAUCCAUUUUGAUGACAAGUAUUUUCGGACGGAGGGAGUAUAAUAUACUUCCUCCGUCCCGAAUUACUUGUCGUAGAAAUGGAUGUAUCUAGAGCUAAAAAUAUGUCUAGAUACAUCCAUUCUUGUGACAAGUAAUUUGGGACAGAGGGAGUACUAUGAAAAUAUAUUAUUUGUACACUAGGAAAAUGGGUAGUACUAAAAGAUAUAUAUAUAUAUAUAUAUAUAUAUAUAUAUAUAUAUAUAAGAUUUUAAAGCAAAACAUAUAUACUUAUAAAAACUUUCUAUGCACAAUAUUUACAAACUUCCAAAAAUUCCUAGUCCGUCGGGUAGACAACUAGUGUAGUCUUCCAAAGUGGAAAUCACGCGCUCGCAGAGAAACAGGCAUUCAAGCCCUGCCAUUUCUGUCUUUCGCUUCCCCCUCUCCUCGUACAAAGGCCGAAAACCCACCGGCAGGGUAGGUGUAGCCACCCAGCCGCCGCACUUGGCCCCCAAAAACCUUAGCAAGAGAGGCUGAAUCGUAUGGGGCGGAAAAAGAGGAGGGAGUUAAAGAUGGUGACGAAGUUGAAGGGAGUGACGCCGCGGGCGCAGGAGCAGCGCGGCACGGCCCCGGAGCUCGUCGCCGUGCCGGAGGUGAGUGGAGCACGUCUUGCCUGGCUGCUAGCUAUAGGUCGUCGACGGAGCUCUUUGCUGUUAUUUGUUGCGCCCCCUGGUAAAUCUGAAUCCGAUCUGAUCGUGGUAUAGGGAGGCGCAUCUCGCAUGCACAUACGGGUAAGGGAUCGAUCGGAAGGGACAGAUGUGGGGAUUUCGCCGCCGCGGUUUUUCUUGACUGCGCCCUAGUUGGUCGUAUCCGCCUUCGUUGAGUUGAGGGUGGCGAGCGGUAAGUGUAGGAAGCGUGGGGACACGUCGGGUGCAGGACGAAGAAGAUGGUGGGUGGCGUUGCUCAUGCCGUCAUGCGCUGGGGACGAAUCGGGCGUGAACCCAAGCAGCUAUGGCUGGACGAAUCGGGGUAAGAUUCUGCUCGAUCGCUAGCUAGCUAGCUUGCAUCUGGUUAAUUUUCCCUCUGGUACUCGCACCAAGAUCAAGCGACUUCCAAGCAACAAAUCGACCAAAACUGAUUCUGUAGUAGUAGUGUAGUACUAAUCGCCCCACCGCUAGAUGUGAUAGAUUUUUUCCUUUCUAGGAUUGAUGCGUCCCAGAUGUGAUAGAUUUUUUCCUUUUUUAGGAAUGAGAUGUGAUAGUUUUUCCAAAACGCUAUAAAAGGUUCGAUUUGCCACGGUAAAAAAUCUGACAUCUGAUUUGUAGUGGGAUCCUAGUCUUUUGAGGGGUCAAAAUGUGAUAGUUUAGGGGGUCGUUAAAAUGAUGUGUUGUGUUAAUUGUGUAGUGGUCGGUCUUGAUGCGCAUUGAAGGCCCAACCCAGAACAUAUGCUCUUUUCUUGUGUGCAUGGGGAUUGCUCCCGCUUCAAAAUGAAAAUAAAAAAAAUGUUAGCUAGGCGAUGGAGAUGGUGGCAGCGGCGAAGCCUAGUCUCACCCCCAUGCGGCAGUAGAGAAGGCGCAUCGCAUCGGAGGAUGGCCGGAGCCGAUGAGAAGCAUGGGCGCACGCAGGCAUACGUCAGGGCGACGGUACAAAACAGGGCCUAGGGAUACAGUAUAGGCAACCACAACAAGCACAAACCCCUCCCUUCUUAGUUCGUGUAACUGUCUUUUUAAUAACUACGAUAUGCAGUAAUUUUUAUUUUGCUAUGUCAAACUGUACUUGUUCAUUCCCUGAAAAAAAAACUAUACUUAUUCAUAUACUUGCAGAAAUAGGAGAGGCCAUCUCGGCCAUACUAUUUCUUAAAUGAUGCAAGCAUAAGAAUGUACAACUGAAAUGUUUAACUAUUUUCUGCUUGAGUAGUUGUUAAAAAUUAUCUGUUGGUUGCAUCUACCUACGAUAUAGCGAUCAUAGCAUUUUUUUUGGUGACCAAAUAGCGACCAUAAGUUAGGCAAGUCUUGUUUUUUUGAGUGUGGGAAGUCCUGGCUAAUAUUGUUGGCUUUUGAUGGCUUGAUCAAUUCACCAGAGAGCAGCAACAUACAUACGUGCAAGCUAGCUAGCUAGCAGUCACCUAGAUUGAUGAACAGUGGCCAAGCACAUGCACAGAUACUUCAGUUACGCUACUAGAAUCUGGUUUUGUCCCGAGUUAUUCUAGUAGUGCCUUAUUAUCUCUCUCUCUCUCCAUUUUAGGUUGUUGCACUAUUCAUUUUUGUUUUUCCUAUGCACUUGAUAUUAUUGUGAGUAACAUAGACCUAGGUCAUUUGAAUAAAUGGUUGUUGUAUCAGGCACCACGUGUUGAUGUUGAAAUGAAGGAUGGUGCAUUGGAACGCCAAAUCAUGGGAGCGCCUAAGUCAGGUUGCGAUUGCAAGACAGCUUGUUUUCCCUAUUAUUGGUUAUUGGUCCUCCAACUUUCUAACAUAUGUGUUCUUAAUUUCAUUGAAGGUGGCGUGGCUGAGAAUAGCAAUGAUCAGAUUCGUGAUUCCGUGGUAGAGAUUAAGAAAAUACGGGAUUCUAUUGUAUGUUAUAUGUCUUCUCUUUUGUUUCAGGAAAAAAAAUGAUGCUUGUUUUUCUUAUAUUUUGUUCUAGUUGAGAAUCUUAUGUAAAUUCAUCCCCUCUUUGUUUCAGCUUCGUAAGGAAUUCAUACUUCAAGAUGGAAGUGCUCAAUGUGAUAUGGACAUUCAUAAAAUUAAGAUGGACAUUCAGAAAAUUAAGACUGGUAUUCUACCAUUUUACACAUCUAAACAUCGUUAGAUUGAUAAUCACUUCUAGAAUUGUCACUGUUUUGUGGCAAACAUUGUGGGCAUGUUUUGCUGGGAGCCAUAUAUUUCCCAAAGUUCUGUGUUAAACUGUCAUAUUCCUCACUUUAAACUGUGGACAAAUCGUCUGUUAGAAGUGUGGCAUAUUUUGGCAAGAAGUUAUUUCUAUAUGAGUUCAUAGUUUAAAAUCGUCGGCGAGCAGAAAUUGCGGCAGGUAUUUGGCCACGAUGAGUAAGGAAGGAAUGCCGCAUUCUCCGGCAAUUUCCCAUGCCAUGCAGAUCGCGCAGCCGUUUCAGAUUCGUGAUAGCGCCGCUAUUGCGGCAGCGUCGUCCAUGAUUUUAAUCUAUGUAUGAGUUCAACAUUUCCAUUACUCACCAUGUUUAAACCUUAUGCAGAAAAGAAGAUGACAAAAGAAGUGUUGUCAACAAUGGAGAAAUAUAAGGAACCUAGCUCAAAUAUAAUGAAAGUUGCCAAUCUAACUUUCUCUGGCGAUGAUGGGAAAACCAAGAGCACUAAGAGAAUGGAAUUGAAAUUUAAGGAGGCACUCGCACAACGCGAUAAAUGCAUGGUAAGAAACUUCGCGCUGAACUGAUGCAUUAAAAUUUUAAAUGCCAUCUGUACCUUUGACACUUGUCAAUGCAGGAGCUUAAUGAUAUCUGCUGUGAUUGCGAUUGGAUGGCCCCUAGAUACACAGUACUACCUUCACUAGCAGAUGGUAUCUCUAAAUACCUUUACUCUUAUCUCUUUAAUUUUCCAAAUGGACACGCAUUGAGUUCUUGGACCAUAUAGGCACAAUAAUAAGAAUUUCAUUGAAAUUGGUCUUGUGCCACGUACUUUCUGAUUAGCGUUUGUUGAAUCCAAUCCGUAUAGCACCCCUUGGGCUAAAGAGUUUUCAAAAGGUCAUAUCUAUAAACCACUUGUCUAUGCUCUAUUCAAGUGUUAGGUUUAUUAAACAUCACAGUUCGGUCCAUGGUUACCAAAGACAUGUGUCGCGCCGUUGUCGGAUCUAUUAGAGAUCACCUCUACUCAUUUCAUUGCAUUCCACUUGUCAAGAACUGAAUAGGUUUCCAGCUAGCAAAAACUAGAACUGCUGUUUGAUUUAGUUCACUCUGUACGUUCGGUUUACAGGGUUCGGUUUAUACGUUUUUUUCGGUUUGUACAUUAUUAAUACUUUGGUAAAUAUGGUAUGAAAUUUAGAUACGGUUCGGUUUCAAUAUAUACCAAAUUAUUUUGGUAUGGUUUCGGUAUAUACCAUAAAACCAAAGUUGACGCGAAUUUGAAAAUGACAUAUAAUAGUUUGCAAAUUUGUGACUCAAAACACAUAUCUUUUUUAUACAAAGAGUAUAUAACUAUAUGCGACUGUAUAUGCAUGCAUGGUUUGGAUGGUUAUGGACAUGCAUAGCAUUCUUAUUAAGAGAAAUAUGAUUCGUUACAAGAAAAUUGGAUGCGCUUAACAUGAAAUCUAGUUUAUGUACAAAAAAGGACUACUCUAUGGUUGUUCUCCCCAAGAAAUAUACAUAUUUUUUUUACUUCGGUUUAUUCGGUAAACCAUACGGUUUUUUGGUAUAUACCAUAAAAACCAGAAUUCAAAACGAUAUAAAAAGUUCAUACCAUACCGAAAUCAUAAACCAUAAAAAAUGGUUCGGUUUGGUUUACUUUCGGUUCGGUUUUAAAAUGCACAGGGUGAGAUUUAGUGUCACAUUGUUUUCUGAGCACUUAUCCACCAGUUACUCUCCUAUCUUUUCAGGAAUGCACGUCGGCGAAGUGCGUUUGAAAUGCCCUGAUUUUGAGUUGAGCAUCACUAGCGAUCCUUGUCCAACCCCACAUGAUGCGAGGUGCUCUGCAGCUGCCAAUAUGAUAUUGGAGCUUGGCAAGAAGGUGGAGGACAAAGAACAUCAUGCUAACUGAUGCAAAGUUGCUAGCUGGGAACUAGCAGGCUGGGGCCAAUAUUACCAAAGAGUGAAAUAAAUCAACUUAGCUAUUUGUUGUUGUGAUGUAUGAACGACUUAAUGAUUUGUGUUGUGCGAGUUUGUACUGUAUUGCAUUGUGGCACAUGUGUGCCAACCAUGUGCUCAAACGAAUUAUUUUUACCAUUAUUUUAUUGAAUUUUUCUUUGUUUUGGGAACUCAUUCAAACUUGCUUUUGGGCGGAAAUUCAAUUAUGUGCAUAUGAUUGGGUUGCAUUUUCCCAAAAUUAUAGCACCUUUUUGGAAGGUUGCUUAUUGUUCUAAUUUAGAAAUUGUAUUCCUGUUUACUUGCUAGGUUUUGCGAGUGAGGCAUUUUGGAGCUUGAAUUUUUCUAAAUAUUAAAAACCAUAGUUCAAAGUCUGAAAAAGUCAUAGAUUUUUAUACAUAUAUUCAUAUGAAUGCAUUCUACAAGUGUAAAACGUUUCAUGAUGAAAUACGUUAACAUUUGAGCCACACAAAAUGGAAAAUUUGUGAAUUUUCAAUAAUGAACAAUGUAUGUACUGUUCAUAGCUAUCAAAGUUAUGAAUUUGGUUUUUGGUAGUUCACAUGUUAACAUAUAUCACCAUUAAACUUUGCAUACACGUAGACUAUACCAAUAUAAACAUGUGGAGUUAUUUUAAAAAAAUUGGAAGUCCAAAUUGUGAAUUUUGAUCUUUUCAAAUAAAAAGACAAACAAGCUCAAUACAGCCCCAGCUCUGAAAUGAACUUCCGAGGUUUUGCAUCCUUUCUCGUUAACAGUGAAGUACACCAAUAUUUGUUAUAUCUAUCCAAAUAUGUUAUUCCCACUGGCUGUGGGAGCUCUCUAAGGUGGGCCAGAAAAUUUCCUAUUGUUUAUUUAAUAGAGUAUAACCAUAUUACUAUAUUAGUGGUGAAAUGGCCGAGCAGGAGCACUAUAGACAAACCACCUUAACGAUGAUGACCAUAUGAGUAUGUGAACUAUCCUAAAAAAAUAUAAGUAUGUGAAUUAUUAAUUGUAAUCAUAGAUUAAAAUCGCGGGAGAAACGAUUUCGCGACGGCCUCUCCCAGCAGCUAUAGUGGCAGCCAUAGCGUUUGACAAGAAACUAAUCUCCAAUUUGGCGGUUGUGGAGUUCUGCAUGAGUUACCACUUGCUUAUAUUUUUAUCCUUUCAUAAUUCAAACUGACUCUUUUCCUUCUCUGUGGUGAAAUUCCAACUAACCCUCCAGGUAUAUUUUCCCCUCAGGCAUCACAAGAGAUGGCUUGCUGAGAAAAUAGGACCAGAUGCUGCAAAUAGUGAACAUGACUUUACAAGGAAGAUACUUGCUAUGGAUGCUAAAAACUACCAUGCUUGGUCCCAUAGGCAGGUAUGCAGUAUCUCCUUUUGAUGUUCAGUACAAGUUGGAUGUUUGUAUCCUUUAAGCUUAUUACUUCUCGCUUGGCUGUUGUACUAGGAAAUUGUAGUACCAAGAGAAUAUUGGUUAUAAUAAUGUAAUUGAUUUGCUAUAAUUGCUGCAGUGGGUUCUUCAAGCAUUGGGUGGAUGGGAGAGUGAACUGCAGUACUGCAACCAGCUUCUUGAGGAAGAUAUUGUUGGGGAACGUUGCAGAAAAUUAAAAAUUUUCCUACGGUUUCACCAAGAUCCAUCUAUGAGUUCAUCUAAGCAACGAGUCAAGGGAGAGAGUUUGCAUCUACAUACCACUUGUAGAUCGCGUGCGGAAGCUUGCAAGGUGAUGAUGUAGUCGUACUCGACGUGAUUCGAAUCACCGAUGACCAAGUGCUGAACGGACAGCACCUCCGCGUUCAACACACGUACGGGACGGGAGACGUCUCCUCCUUCUUGAUCCAGCAAGGGGGAAGGAGAGGUUGAGGAAGACAGCUCCACCGGCAGCACGACGGCGUGGUGAUGGUGGAGAGGCAGUACUCCGACAGGGCUUCGCCAAGCACACAACGGAGGAGGAGAGGUGUUGGGGAGGGGAGGGCUGCGCCUUGGAGGGUGGUACGGCUGCCCUCCCCUCACCCCUCUAUUUAUAGGGGGAAGGGAGAAGGGGGCCGGCCCCCUAGAACCCAUCUAGGGGGGGUGCGGCGGCCUAGGGGAGAGGGGAGAGGGUGGCUUGCCCCCCAAGCCAAGGGGGCGCCCCCUCUAGGGUUCCCCCCCUCAACCCUAGGCGCAUGGGCCCAAGGGAGGGGGUGCGGCCAGCCCACCAGGGGCUGGCUCCCUGCCCCACGCAGCCCAUGUGGCCCCCCCGGGAGGGGUGGCCCCUCCCGGUGGACCCCCGUGUUGGGUUUCGUAGUAAUUUCAAAAAUUUUCCUACGCACACGCAAGAUCAUGUGAUGCAUAGCAACGAGGGGAAGAGUAUUGCCUACGUACCCUACGCAGACCGACUGCGGAAGCGAUGACACGACGUAGAGGAAGUAGUCGUACGUCUUCACGAUCCAACCGAUCAAGCACCGAAACUACGGCACCUCCGAGUUCGAGCACACGUUCAGCUCGAUGACGAUCCCCGGACUCCGAUCCAGCAAAGUGUCGGGGAAGAGUUCCGUCAGCACGACGGCGUGGUGACGAUCUUGAUGAACUACAGCAGCAGGGCUUCGCCUAAACUCCGCUACAGUAUUAUCGAGGAAUAUGGUGGCAGGGGGCACCGCACACGGCUAAGGAAUCGAUCAUGUGGAUCAACUUGUGUCAACUUGUGUGUUUAGAGGUGCCCCUGCCUCAGUAUAUAAAGGAGCCAAGGGGGGGAGGAGGCGCCGGCCAGGAGGAGGUGGCGCAGGAGGAGUCCUACUCCUACCGGGAGUAGGACUCCCCUCCAAUCCUAUUCCAACUAGGAAUCCCCAAAGGGGGAAAGAGGAGAAGGGUGGCCGGCCACCUCUCCUAGUCCUAAUAGGACUAGGGGAAGGGGGGAGGCGCGCAGCCCCCUUGGGCUGCCCCUUUCUCCUUUCCACUAAGGCCCAUGAAGGCCCAUAUGGCUCCCGGGGGGUUCCGGUAACCUCCCGGUAACCCGGUAAAAUCCCGAUUUCACCCGGAACACUUCCGAUGUCCAAACAUAGGCUUCCAAUAUAUCAAUCUUUACGUCUCGACCAUUUCGAGACUCCUCGUCAUGUCCGUGAUCACAUCCGGGACUCCGAACAACCUUCGGUACAUCAAAAUGCAUAAACUCAUAAUAUAACUGUCAUCGUAACCUUAAGCGUGCGGACCCUACGGGUUCGAGAACAAUGUAGACAUGACCGAGACACGUCUCUGGUCAAUAACCAAUAGCGGGACCUGGAUGCCCAUAUUGGCUCCUACAUAUUCUACGAAGAUCUUUAUCGGUCAGACCGCAUAACAACAUACAUUGUUCCCUUUGUCAUCGGUAUGUUACUUGCCCGAGAUUCGAUCGUCGGUAUCCAAUACCUAGUUCAAUCUCGUUACCGGCAAGUCUCUUUACUCGUUCCGUAAUACAUCAUCUCACAACUAACAUAUUAGUUGCAGUGCUUGCAAGGCUUAUGUGAUGUGCAUUACCGAGAGGGCCCUGAGAUACCUCUCCGACAAUCGGAGUGACAAAUCCUAAUCUCGAAAUACGCCAACCCAACAUCUACCUUUGGAGACACCUGUAAUGCUCCUUUAUAAUCACCCAGUUACGUUGUGACGUUUGGUAGUACCCAAAGUGUUCCUCCGGUAAACGGGAGUUGCAUAAUCUCAUAGUCAUAGGAACAUGUAUAAGUCAUGAAGAAAGCAAUAGCAACAUACUAAACGAUCAGGUGCUAAGCUAAUGGAAUGGGUCAUGUCAAUCAGAUCAUUCAACUAAUGAUGUGACCUCGUUAAUCAAAUAACAACUCAUUGUUCAUGGUUAGGAAACAUAACCAUCUUUGAUUAACGAGCUAGUCAAGUAGAGGCAUACUAGUGACACUUUGUUUGUCUAUGUAUUCACACAUGUAUUAUGUUUCCGGUUAAUACAAUUCUAGCAUGAAUAAUAAACAUUUAUCAUGAAAUAAGGAAAUAAAUAAUAACUUUAUUAUUGCCUCUAGGGCAUAUUUCCUUCAGUCUCCCACUUGCACUAGAGUCAAUAAUCUAGUUCACAUUGUCAUGUGAUUUAACACCAAUAUUCAUAUCUGUAUAUGAUUAACACCCAUAGUUCACAUCAUCAUGUGACCAACACCCAAAGGGUUUACUAGAGUCAAUAAUCUAGUUCACAUCGCUAUGUGAUUAACAUCCAAAGAGUACUAAGGUGUGAUCAUGUUUUGCUCGUGAGAGAAGCUUAGUCAACGGGUCUGUCACAUUCAGAGCCGUAUGUAUUUUGCAAAUAUUCUAUGUCUAUAAUGCUCUGUGCGGAGCUACUCUAGCUAAUUGCUCCUACUUUCAAUAUGUAUCCAGAUUGAGACUUAGAGUCAUCUGGAUCAGUGUCAAACUUGCAUCGGCGUAACCCUUUACGACGAACCUUUUUCCAUAAUCGAGAAACAUAUCCUUAUUCCACUAAGGACAAUUUUGACCGCUCUCCAGUGAUCUUCUCCUAGAUCACUAUUGUACUCCCUUGCCAAACUCAGUGGUAUGGCAUACAAUAGAUCUGGUAUACAGCAUGGCAUACUUUAUAGAACCUAUGACUGAGGCAUAGGGAAUGACUUUCAUUCUCUUUCUAUUUUCUGCCGUGGUCGGGCUUUGAGUCUUACUCAACUUAACACCUUGCAACACAGGCAAGAACUCCUUCUUUGACUGUUCCAUUUUGAACUAUUUCAAAAAUUUAUCAAGGUAUGUAUUCAUUGAAAAAAUCUUAUCAAGCGUCUUCAUCUAUCUAUAUAGAUCUUGAUGCUCAAUGUGUAAGCAGCUUCACCAAGGUCUUUCUUUGAAAAACUUUUAUUCAAGUAUCCUUUCAUGCUUUGCAGAAUAAUUCUACAUUAUUUCCGAUCAACAAUAUGUCAUUCACAUAUACUUAUCAGAAAUGUUGUAGUGCUCCCACUCACUUUCUUGUAAAUACAGGCUUCACCGUAAGUCCAUAUAAAACUAUAUGCUUUGAUCAACUUAUCAAAGCGUAUAUUCCAACUCCGAGAUGCUUGCACCAGUCCAUAGAUGGAUCGCUGGAGCUUGCACAUUUUGUUAGCACCUUUAGGAUUGACAAAACCUUCUAGUUGCAUCAUAUACAACUCUUCUUCCAGAAAUCUAUUCAGGAAUGCAGUUUUGACAUCCAUCUACCAAAUUUCAUAAUCAUAAAAUGCGGCAAUUGCUAACAUGAUUCGGACGGACUUAAGCAUCGCUACGGGUGAGAAUGUCUCAUCGUAGUCAAUCCCUUGAACUUGUCAAAAACCUUUUGCGACAAGUCGAGCUUUGUAGACAGUAACAUUACCAUCAGCGUCAGUCUUCUUCUUAAAGAUCCAUUUAUUCUUAAUGACUCACCGAUCAUCGGGCAAGUCAAUCAAAGUCAACACUUUGUUCUCAUACAUGGAUCAUAUCUCAGAUUUCAUGGCCUCAAGCCAUUUCGUGGAAUCUGGGCUCAUCAUUGCUUCCUCAUAGUUCGUAGGUUCAUCAUGGUCUAGUAACAUGACUUCCAGAACAUGAUUACCGUACCACUCUGGUGCGGAUCUUACUCUGGAAGACCUACGAGGUUUGGUAGUAACUUGAUCUGAAGUUUGAUGAUCAUCAUCAUUAACUUCCUAACUUAUUGGUGUAGGAAUCACUGGAACUGAUUUCUGUGAUGAACUACUUUCCAAUAAGGGAGAAGGUAUAAUUACCUCAUCAAGUUCUACUCUCCUCCCACUCACUUCUUUCGAGAGAAACUCCUUCUCUGGAAAGGAUCCAUUUUAGCAACGAAUAUCUUGCCUCCAGAUCUGUGAUAGAAGGUGUACCCAACAAUUUCCUUUGGGUAUUCUAUGAAGACGCACUUCUCCGAUUUGGGUUCGAGCUUAUCAGGAUGAAACUUUUCCACAUAAGCAUCGCAGCCCCAAUCUUUAAGAAACGACAACUUGGGUUUCUUGCUAAACCAUAGUUCAUAUAGUGUCGUCUCAACGGAUUUAGAUGGUGCCCUUUUAACGUGAAUGCAUCUGUCUUUAAUGCAUAACCCCAAAAUGAUAGUGGUAGAUCGGUAAGAGACAUCAUAGAUCGCACCAUAUCUAAUAAAGUACGGUUAUGACGUUCGGACACACCAUUACAUUGUGGUGUUCCAGGUGGCGUGAGUUUGUGAAACUAUUCCACAUUGUUUUAAUUGAAGACCAAACUCGUAACUCAAAUAUUUGUCUCCGCGAUCAGAUCGUAGAAACUUUAUUUUCUUGUCACGAUGAUUUUCCACUUCACUCUGAAAUUCUUUGAACUUUUCAAAUGUUUCAGACUUAUGUUUCAUCAAGUAGAUAUACCCAUAUCUGCUCAAAUCAUCUAUGAAGUUCAGAAAAUAACGAUACUUGCCGUGAGCCUUAACACUCAUCGGACCGCAUACAUCAGUAUGUAUUAUUUCCAAUAAGUCAGUUGCUCGCUCCGGAGAACGGAGUCUUAGUCAUCUUGCCCAUGAGGCAUGGUUCGCAAGCAUCAAGUGAUUCAUAAUCAAGUGAUUCCGAAAAUCCAUCUUUAUGGAGUAUCUUCAUGCGCUUUACACCGAUAUGACCCAAACGGCUGUGCCACAAAUAAGUUGCACUAUCAUUAUUAACUUUGCAUCUUUUGGUUUCAAUAUUAUGAAUAUGUGUAUCACUACGAUCGAGAUCCAAUGAACCUUUUUCAUUGUGUGUGUAACCAUAUAAGGUUUUAUUCAUGUAAACAGAACAACAUUUUAUUCUCUUACUUAAAUGAAUUACCGUAUUGCAAUAAACAUGAUCAAAUCAUAUUCAUGUUCAACGCCAACACCAAAUAACACUUAUUUAGUUUCAACACUAAUCCCGAAAGUAUAGGGAGUGCGCGAUGAUCAUAUCAAUCUUGGAACUACUUCCAACACUCAUCGUCACUUCCCCUUCAACUAGUCUUUGUUUAUUCUGCAACUCCCGUUUCGAGUUUACUAAUCUUAGCAACUGAACUAGUAUCAAAUACUGAGGGGUUGCUAUAAACACUAGUAAAGUACACAUCAAUAACAUGUAUAUCAAAUAUACUUAUGUUCAUUUUGCCAUCCUUAUUAUCUGCCAAUCACUUGGGGUAGUUCCGCUUCCAGUGACCAGUCCCUUUGCAGUAGAAACACUUAGUCUCAGGCUUAGGACCAGACUUGGGCUUCUUCACUUUGAGCAGCAACUUGCUUGCUGUUCUUCUUGAAGUUCCCCUUCUUCCCUCUGCCCUUUUCUUGAAACUAGUGGUCUUUUCAAUCAUCAACACUUGAUGCUCUUUCUUGAUUUUUACCUUCGUUGAUUUCAAUAUCACGAAGAGCUCAGGAAUCAUUUUCGUCAUCCCUUGCAUACUAUAGUUCAUCACGAAGUUCAGUAACAUAGUGAUGGUGACUUGAGAAUUCUGUCAAUCACUAUCUUAUCUGGAAGAUUAACUCCCACUUGAUUCAAGCGAUUGAAGUACUCAGACAAUCUGAGCACAUGCUCACUAGUUGAGCGAUUCUCCGCUAUCUUUUAGCUAUAGAACUUGUUGGAGAUUUCAUAUCUCUCAACUCGGGUAUUUGCUUGAAAUACUAACUUCAAAUACUGGAACAUCUCAUAUGGUCCAUGAUGUUCAAAACAUCUUUGAAGUCCCGAUUCUAAGCCAUAAAGCAUGGUGCACAUAACUAUCCAGUAGUCAUCAUAUUGAGCUAGCCAAACGUUCAUAACGUUUGCAUUUGCUCCUGCAAUAGGUCCGUCACCUAGCGGUGCAUCAAGGACAUAAUUCUUCUGUGCAGCAAUGAGGAUAAACCUCAGAUCACGGAUCCAAUCCGCAUCUUUGCUACUAACAUCUUUCAACACAAUUUUCUCUAGGAACAUAUCAGAAUAAACAUAUGAAAGCAACAACGCGAGCUAUUGAUCUACAACAUAGAUAUGCUAAUACUAUCAGGACUAAGUUCAUGAUAAAUUAAAGUUCAAUUAAUCAUAUUACUAAAGAACUCCCACUUAGAUAGACAUCCCUCUAAUCCUCUAAGUGAUCACGUGAUCCAAAUCAACUAAACCAUGACCGAUCAUCACGUGAGAUGGAGUAGUUUUCAGUGGUGAACAUCGUUAUGUUGAUCAUAUCUACUAUAUGAUUCACGCUCGACCUUUCGGUCUCCGUGUUCCGAGGCCAUAUCUGCAUAUGCUAGGCUCGUCAAGUUUAACCUGAGUAUUCUGCGUGUGCAAAAACUGGCUUGCACCCGUUGUAGAUGGACGUAGAGCUUAUCACACCCGAUCAUCACGUGGUGUCUGGGCACGACGAACUUUGGCAACGGUGCAUACUCAGGGAGAACACUUCUUGAUAAUUUAGUGAGAGAUCAUCUUAUAAUGCUACCGUCAAUCAAAGCAAGAUAAGAUGCAUAAAAAGAUAAACAUCACAUGCAAUCAANNNNNNNNNNNNNNNNNNNNNNNNNNNNNNNNNNNNNNNNNNNNNNNNNNNNNNNNNNNNNNNNNNNNNNNNNNNNNNNNNNNNNNNNNNNNNNNNNNNNUGUUCCCCACAAUAUACCGGGGGUGCGCAUUAGGCGAUUCGAAGGAGUUUACUGUACAUAGAAGUAAUUUGUGGUUGUGCGAGUUAAACUACCUAUCUUGUGUUUUUACCUUAUAUAACAAGGAUGUCAUCAUGUGACAAAAACUUUCAUCUCAUUUUUUAUGUGCAAGAGUUUUGUGAAGAGGCCCACUUGGACUGCAGAAUUCCUAUAGGCUUUAUAAUCGAGAUCCAAGAUUUUUUUAUCCUUUUCCGUUUGACCAUUUCUUUGAAUCAAAAGAAUGAGUAUGUGAUGCCAUUUCUUAUGAAUUCAAGAGGCAUUACUGUUCCAACAUAUUCAAAGCACAUAUUCUGACUAUAGUUUGGUAGUCUGGAGCAAGAUUUCUCGCAAUAUUCGGAAGAAAACCUCCUCGAUGACUGCUCGUCAGAAGAAAUCCGACAACAUUGUGGUCUCUCCUAAAGUUGGAAUUAUCACUCGCGGCAGAAUGUCAAACGUAAAUGAUAUGGCUUCCUUGGAAACAAAUCACACUACAGUUCCAAGAGGUAUCUUUCUUACUUUCAUGUUGCAACUAUGAAGAUAAUUCUAAUGAAAAUAUUGCAUAUAAAUUAAUCUUUUGUCACAUAUGAUGAAAUACCAGGACAUUGUGUGACACCUACCUUCGAAAUAACCGUGCAGUCGGAUGAGGGGCUUAAUCUUUCUGUGGAUCUAAACUCCACUCAAUCAGAGUACACUAAAAUAUAUUCACAACAACUUGGGGAUGUUUCUAGAGAGGCUCAACUUGAAGCUCCAACAGAAAAUGCAGAGGUAGAAGAAAUGGCUGUGGAAGACAAUAUAGGUUGUGGCGACAUGUUACCACCAGUUCCUAGAGGGGAAGAAUUUAAAGCCCAGGUAGAAAAUGAAGAGAGGAAAGAAGUUUCGAUGGAAGAAGAAAUAGGUUGUGCUGACAAGUUGAUAGUUACUGAAGGGACCCAACUUACCCUUAGCAGGGACAAACAUGAAUCCCCUAUGAAAACUGAACUAGUCGCUCAAGAAGUAGUAAUGGAAGAAGAUAUAGGUUGUGACGAUAAUUUGCCAGGUUGAAAUCAAGUGCUGAUCUCACAUGCCAAUCAAGAUGCUGGCUUUACAAAUCAUUCUCCUAAUGAGGUCUUGAACCACACAAGCUCAAUGCUACCAUCUAUUGGUUCGGUAAUUUCAUUGAACCAUUUAUAGUACUAUUUUUUCCAUUUGAUUCUACUAUAUACUUUACUUCCUUUCAUCGAAGAAAUAUCGUCUUGGGUACUUUUUUUGAUCCAUUUUUGAUACUGCCGCAACACUGCAUGUUUCUUUUCACCAAACUAAAUAUUUACUUGUUACUCCCUUUGAUCCAACAUAAGUGUAGCUUUAAUUCAAACCUGCUGACACUUAUUAUGAAUCAGAGGGAGUACUAAUAAAAUGAAAAAGUUUAGCCUUUCAUUGUUUCUUCCCUUCUUUGAGUCCGAUAGUAUUGUGAAUUGCUUACUAGGUGUUAUUGUUGUUUGAUCACUCUUAUCUUUUUGUUGUUAGUUUCAAAUUGUUUUCAUUUUUCUUGUUUAACAAGUAGGUCUCGGUCAGCAAAAGAGUGCAUCAUCCUACCAUUAGAAAAAAAACAAAAAGAAAAAAUAGAAAUGAGAUAUGAUUUUGGUAGGAAUUAAUCAUUUUCAUGAUAUAUAGACUGUAUAUGGUAAAAGAACGCGUGUGUGCUUGUGCCUCGCUUCCACGCGCUCGCACAACACUGGCCAUCUUUGUCCAAUUGUCCUCUUUCCACUUUCUUCCAUUCCCUUCACAAGUGAGCGUGUUCCCUUGACCCUAAUUAACCCACCUAGCUAGGCACCCAACCGCCGUAGCAAGCCCCCAGAACCCUAGCUAGGUAUUGGCGAUCGAGGCAUAAUCAUUUAACCCCCGGACAUGGUGAAGAUGGUAACAAAGAUGAAGGGAGUGACUCCGUGGGCACAGGAGCAGCCCGGCACGGCCACAGAGAAGCAACUCAUCGUCAUGCAGGAGGUGAGUGGAUCACGCAUACACGUAGUUCUUUUUGGUUGGAUAGUUGGUAGAUCUGAUCGUGGUUUACGCAGACACUCAUAUUGCUUGGUUUUGGCUGCUCUAGUGGAUAGAUCGGACGGAGUUAAUUCUUAUUGUUGGGCUGCACUAGUCAAUCUAAAUCUGAUCGUGGUAGGGGAUCGAUAGAUCUGAGAUGAAUCAGACAUAGAAAUGCUCUCACGCGGCUAGUUUGAUUUGAUGAUUACUCGAUCGUGCGACUAUGGGAGGUCCUCGGCGUCCGAAUUUUGCCGCCGCAACUUUGCUCGAGUGCAUCCUAGUUGGUCUUCUGAUGCGUCCUAUUGGUGGCGGCUGUCCAGGCAUACCCUCCGCAAGUGGUGGCGGCGAUGCACUGACGAGUAGGAAGAAAGGAUGCGUCGGGUGCAGGAGGAAGAAGGUGGUGGUCCUAAAAGAUAUAUAUUAUACUCCCUCCGUCCCGAAUUACUUGUCUAGAAAUGGAUGUAUCUAGAGCUAAAAAUAUGUCUAGAUACAUCCAUUCUUGCGAGAAGUAAUUUGUGACAGAGGGAGUACUAUGAAAAUAUAUUAUUUGUACAUUAGGAAAAUGGGUAGCAUGAACCUCAAGUAACUAGCUUCCACUUGGAUUCUACUUUGAAACCCUUUGUGGUUGCUGCCUGGGAAGAGGUCGACUUUGACCUGACACUCUAGCCACUCGUCGUACACUCCCAGAACCCUCCCUAUGUACACAGCAUAGCACUCCUUGGUCAUCGAUCUAUAUCCCUAACAGAGUUGCAUCGUCAUCAGCCAAAUUCAUCGAUAAUAUGCAACAUGAUAUACGUAAGCAACUCGAAGAGAAAGAGUUAGCAAAGAGAAGCAACAUAUAGUAAACAUAAUUAACAAAGUGCAGCAAUGAGGAUAAACCUCAGAUCACGGAUCCAAUCCGCAUCUUUGCUACUAACAUCUUUCAACACAAUUUUCUCUAGGAACAUAUCAGAAUAAACAUAUGAAAGCAACAACGCGAGCUAUUGAUCUACAACAUAGAUAUGCUAAUACUAUCAGGACUAAGUUCAUGAUAAAUUAAAGUUCAAUUAAUCAUAUUACUAAAGAACUCCCACUUAGAUAGACAUCCCUCUAAUCCUCUAAGUGAUCACGUGAUCCAAAUCAACUAAACCAUGACCGAUCAUCACGUGAGAUGGAGUAGUUUUCAGUGGUGAACAUCGUUAUGUUGAUCAUAUCUACUAUAUGAUUCACGCUCGACCUUUCGGUCUCCGUGUUCCGAGGCCAUAUCUGCAUAUGCUAGGCUCGUCAAGUUUAACCUGAGUAUUCUGCGUGUGCAAAAACUGGCUUGCACCCGUUGUAGAUGGACGUAGAGCUUAUCACACCCGAUCAUCACGUGGUGUCUGGGCACGACGAACUUUGGCAACGGUGCAUACUCAGGGAGAACACUUCUUGAUAAUUUAGUGAGAGAUCAUCUUAUAAUGCUACCGUCAAUCAAAGCAAGAUAAGAUGCAUAAAAAGAUAAACAUCACAUGCAAUCAAUAUAAGUGAUAUGAUAUGGCCAUCAUCAUCUCGUGCUUGUGAUCUCCAUCUCUGAAGCACCGUCAUGAUCACCAUCGUCACCGGCGCGACACCUUGAUCUCCAUCGUAGCAUCGUUGUCGUCCCGCCAAUCUUAUGCUUCCACGACUAUCACUACCGUUUAGUAAUAAAGUAAAGCAUUACAUCGCGAUUGCAUUGCAUACAAUAAAGCGACAACCAUAUGGCUCCUGCCAGUUGCCGAUAACUCGGUUACAAAACAUGAUCAUCUCAUACAAUAAAAUUCAGCAUCAUGCCUUGACCAUAUCACAUCACAACAUGCCCUGCAAAAACAAGUUAGAUGUCCUCUACUUUGUUGUUGCAUGUUUUACGUGGCUGCUACGGGCUUAAGUAAGAACCAAUCUCACCUACGCAUCAAAACCACAACGAUAGUUUGUCAAAUAGACUCCGUUUUAACCUUCGCAAGGACCGGGCGUAGCCAUACUUGGUUCAACUAAAGUUGGAGAGGCAGUCGCCCGCAAGCCAUCUCUGUGCAAAGCACGUCGAGGGAACCGGUCUCGCGUAAGCGUACGCGUAAGGUUGGUCCGGGUCGUCUCGUCCAACAAUACCGCCGAACCAAAGUAUGACAUGCUGGUAGGCAGUAUGACUUGUAUCGUCCACAACUUACUUGUGUUCUACUCGUGCAUAUAACAUCAACAUCAAUAACCUAGGCUCUGAUACCACUGUUGGGUUUCGUAGUAAUUUCAAAAAUUUUCCUACGCGCACACAGGAUCAUGUGAUGCAUAGCAACGAGAGGAGAGUGUUGUCUACGUACCCAACGCAGACCGACUGCGGAAGCGAUGACACGACGUAGAGGAAGUAGUCGUACGUCUUCACGAUCCAACCGAUCAAGCACCGAAACUACGGCACCUCCGAGUUCGAGCACACGUUCAGCUCGAUGACGAUCCCCGGACUCCGAUCCAGCAAAGUGUCAGGGAAGAGUUUCGUCAGCACGACGGCGUGGUGACGAUCUUGAUGAACUACAGCAGCAGGGCUUCGCCUAAACUCCGCUACAGUAUUAUCGAGGAAUAUGGUGGCAGGGGGCACCGCACACGGCUAAGGAAUCGAUCACGUGGAUCAACUUGUGUCAACUUGUGUGUUUAGAGGUGCCCCUGCCUCAGUAUAUAAAGGAGCCAAGGGGGGGAGGAGGCGCCGGCCAGGAGGAGGUGGCGCAGGAGGAGUCCGAUGUCCAAACAUAGACUUCCAAUAUAUCAAUCUUUAUGUCUCGACCAUUUCGAGACUCCUCGUCAUGUCCGUGAUCACAUCCGGGACUCCGAACAACCUUCGGUACAUCAAAAUGCAUAAACUCAUAAUAUAACUGUCAUCGUAACCUUAAGCGUGCGGACCCUACGGGUUCGAGAACAAUGUAGACAUGACCGAGACACGUCUCUGGUCAAUAACCAAUAGCGGGACCUGGAUGCCCAUAUUGGCUCCUACAUAUUCUACGAAGAUCUUUAUCGGUCAGACCGCAUAACAACAUACGUUGUUCCCUUUGUCAUCGGUAUGUUACUUGCCCGAGAUUCGAUCGUCGGUAUCCAAUACCUAGUUCAAUCUCGUUACCGGCAAGUCUCUUUACUCGUUCCGUAAUACAUCAUCUCACAACUAACAUAUUAGUUGUAAUGCUUGCAAGGCUUAUGUGAUGUGUAUUACCGAGAGGGCCCAGAGAUACCUCUCCAACAAUUGGAGUGACAAAUCCUAAUCUCGAAAUACGCCAACCCAACAUCGACCAUUGGAGACACCUGUAGUACUCCUUUAUAAUCACCCAGUUACGUUGUGACGUUUGGUAGUACCCAAAGUAUUCCUCCGGUAAACGGGAGUUGCAUAAUCUCAUAGUCAUAGGAACAUGUAUAAGUCAUGAAGAAAGCAAUAGCAACAUACUAAACGAUCAGGUGCUAAGCUAAUGGAAUGGGUCAUGUCAAUCAGAUCAUUCAACUAAUGAUGUGACCUCGUUAAUCAAAUAACAACUCAUUGUUCAUGGUUAGGAAACAUAACCAUCUUUGAUUAACGAGCUAGUCAAGUAGAGGCAUACUAGUGACACUUUGUUUGUCUAUGUAUUCACACAUGUAUUAUGUUUCCGGUUAAUACAAUUCUAGCAUGAAUAAUAAACAUUUAUCAUGAAAUAAGGAAAUAAAUAAUAACUUUAUUAUUGCCUCUAGGGCAUAUUUCCUUCACCCCGGAACCCUUCCGGUGGCCCCGGUACAAUACCGGUAUGACCCCGAAACUUCCCGGUGUCUGUUUGACAACUUCCCAUAUAUAAAUCUUUACCUCCGGAUCCUUCCGGAUCUCCUCGUGACGUCCAGGAUCCCAUCCGGGACUCCGAACAACAUUCGGUAGUCACAUACUAGUCUUCCUAAUAACCCUAGCGUCACCGAACCUUAAGUGUGUAGACCCUACGGGUUCGGGAGACAUGCAGACAUGACCGAGACGCUCUCAGUCAAUAACCAAUAGCGGGAUCUGGAUACCCAUGAUGGCUCCCACAUGCUCCUCGAUGUUGUCAUCGGAUGAACCACGAUGUCGAGGAUUCGAUCAAACCCUGUAUGCAAUCCCCUUUGUCAAUCGGUACGUUACUUGCCCGAGACUCGAUCGUCGGUAUCCCAAUACCUUGUUCAGUCUCGUUACCGGCAAGUCACUUUACUCGUACCGUAAUGCAUGAUCCCGUGUCCAACACCUUGGUCACAUUGAGCUCAUUAUGAUGAUGCAUUACCGAGUGGGCCCAGAGAUACCUCUCCGUCAUACGGAGUGACAAAUCCCAGUCUCGAUCCGUGUCAACCCAACAGCUACUUUCGGAGAUACCUGUAAUGCACCUUUAUAGUCACCCAGUUACGUUGUGACGUUUGAUACACCCAAGGCACUCUUACGGUAUCCGGGAGUUACACGAUCUCAUGGUCGAAGGAAGAGAUACUUGACACUAGCAAAGCUCUAGCAAAAUGAACUACACGAUCUUUUAUGCUAUGCUUAGGAUUGGGUCUUGUCCAUCACAUCAUUCUCCUAAUGAUGUGAUCCCGUUAUCAAUGACAUCCAAUGUCCAUAGUCAGGAAACCAUGACUAUCUGUUGAUCACAACGAGCUGGUCAACUAGAGGCUCACCAGGGACAUAUUGUGGUCUAAGUAUUCACACGUGUAUUACGAUUUCCGGAUAAUACAGUUAUAGCAUGAAUAAAAGACAUUUAUCAUGAACAUUGAAAUAUAAUAAUACUUUUAUUAUUGCCUCUAGGGCAUAUUUCCAACAGUCUCCCACUUGCACUAGAGUCACCAAUCUAGUUACAUUGUGAUGAAUCGAACACCCAUAGAGUUCUGGUGUUGAUCAUGUUUUGCACGCGAGAGAGGUUUAGUCAGCGGAUCUGCGACAUUCAGAUCCGUGUGCACUUUGCAAAUCUCUAUAUCUCCAUCUUGAACAUUUUCACGGAUAGAGUUGAAACGACGCUUGAUGUGCCUGGUCUUCUUGUGAAACCUGGGCUCCUUGGCGAGGGCAAUAGCUCCAGUGUUGUCACAGAAGAGUUUGAUCGGCCCCGACGCAUUGGGUAUGACUCCUAGGUCGGUGAUGAACUCCUUCACCCAGAUCGCUUCAUGCGCUGCCUCCGAGGCUGCCAUGUACUCCGCUUCACACGUAGAUCCCGCCACGACGCUCUGCUUGCAGCUGCACCAGCUUACUGCUCCACCAUUCAACAUAUACACGUAUCCGGUUUGUGACUUAGAGUCAUCCAGAUCUGAGUCGAAGCUAGCGUCGACGUAACCCUUUACGAUGAGCUCUUCGUCUCUUCCGUAAACGAGAAACAUGUCCUUCGUCCUUUUCAGGUACUUCAGGAUAUUCUUGACCGCUGUCCAGUGUUCCUUGCCGGGAUUACUUUGGUAUCUUGCUACCAAACUUACGGCAAGGUUUACAUCGGGUCUGGUACACAGCAUGGCAUACAUAAUAGAUCCUAUGGCUGAAGCAUAGGGGAUGACACUCAUCUCUUCUUUAUCUUUUGCCGUGGUCGGUGACUGAGCCGAGCUCAAUCUCACACCUUGUAACAUAGGCAAGAACCCCUUCUUGGAUUGAUCCAUUUUGAACCUCUUCAAAAUCUUAUCAAGGUAUGUGCUUUGUGAAAGACCUAUGAGGCGUCUCGAUCUAUCUCUAUAGAUCUUGAUGCCUAAUAUAUAAGCAGCUUCUCCAAGGUCCUUCAUUGAAAAACACUUAUUCAAGUAGGCCUUAAUGCUGUCCAGAAAUUCUAUAUUAUUUCCCAUCAAGAGUAUGUCAUCUACAUAUAAUAUGAGAAAUGCUACAGAGCUCCCACUCACUUUCUUGUAAACGCAGGCUUCUCCAUAAGUCUGCAUAAACCCAAACGCUUUGAUCAUCUCAUCAAAGCGAAUGUUCCAACUCCGAGAUGCUUGCACCAGUCCAUAAAUGGAUCGCUGGAGCUUGCAUACUUUGUUAGCGUUCCGAGGAUCGACAAAACCUUCCAGCUGCAUCAUAUACAGUUCUUCCUUAAGAUUCCCAUUAAGGAAUGCCGUUUUGACGUCCAUUUGCCAUAUCUCAUAAUCAUAGUAUGCGGCAAUUGCUAACAUGAUUCGGACGGACUUCAGCUUCGCUACGGGAGAGAAAGUCUCGUCGUAGUCAAUCCCUUGAACUUGUCGAUAACCCUGAGCGACAAGUCGAGCCUUAUAGAUUGUAACAUUACCAUCCGCGUCCGUCUUCUUCUUAAAGAUCCAUUUGUUUUCUAUCGCUCGCCGAUCAUCGGGCAAGUUUGUCAAAGUCCAUACUUUGUUUUCAUACAUGGAUUCUAUCUCAGAUUUCAUGGCUUCAAGCCAUUUGUUGGAAUCCGGGCCCGCCAUCGCUUCUUCAUAGUUCAAAGGUUCAUUGUUGUCUAACAACAUGAUUUCCAGGACAGGGUUGCCGUACCACUCUGGUGCGGAACGUGUCCUUGUGGACCUACGAAGUUCAGCAGUAACUUGAUCCAAAGUACCUUGAUCAUCAUCAUUGUUUUCCUCUUCAGUCGGUGUGGGCAUCACAGGAACGGUUUCCUGCGCUGCGCCACUUUCCCGCUCAAGAGGUAGUACUUCAUCGAGUUCUACUUUCCUCCCACUUACUUCUUUCGAGAGAAACUCUUUUUCCAGAAAGCAUCCGUUCUUGGCAACAAAGAUCUUGCCUUCGGAUCUUAAGUAGAAGGUAUACCCGACAGUUUCCUUAGGGUAUCCUAUGAAUACACAUUUUUUCGACUUGGGUUCGAGCUUUUCAGGUUGAAGUUUCUUGACAUAAGCAUCGCAUCCCCAAAACUUUUAGAAACGACAGCUUAGGUUUCUUUCCAAACCAUAAUUCAUACGGUGUCGUCUCAACGGAUUUAGACGGUGCCCUAUUUAAAGUGAAUGUAGCUGUCUCUAGAGCGUAUCCCCAAAAUGAUAGCGGUAAAUCGGUAUGAGACAUCAUAGACCGCACCAUAUCCAAUAGGGUGCGAUUACGACGUUCGGACACACCGUUUCGCUGAGGUGUUCCAGGCGGCGUGAGCUGUGAAACGAUUCCACAUUUCCUUAAGUGUGUACCAAAUUCGUGACUUAAGUAUUCUCCUCCACGAUCUGAUCAUAAGAAUUUUAUCUUUCGGUCACGUUGAUUCUCUACCUCAUUCUGAAAUCCUUGAACUUUUCAAAGGUCUCAGACUUGUGUUUCAUUAAGUAGACAUACCCAUAUCUACUCAAGUCAUCUGUGAGAGUGAGAACAUAACGAUAUCCUCCGCGAGCCUCAACGCUCAUUGGACCGCACACAUCGGUAUGUAUAAUUUCCAACAAGUUGGUUGCUCGCUCGAUUGUUCCGGAGAACAGAGUCUUGGUCAUUUUGCCCAAAAGGCAUGGUUCGCACGUGUCAAACGAUUCAUAAUCAAGAGACUCUAAAAGUCCAUCGGCAUGGAGCUUCUUCAUGCGCUUGACACCAAUGUGACCAAGGCGGCAGUGCCACAAGUAUGUGGGACUAUCGUUAUCAACUUUAAAUCUUUUGGCAUCUACACUAUGAACAUGUGUAAUAUUACGCUCGAGAUUCAUUAAGAAUAAACCAUUGACCAUCGGAGCAUGACCAUAAAACAUAUCUCUCAUAUAAAUCGAACAACCAUUAUUCUCAGACUUAAAUGAGUAGCCAUCUCGUAUUAAACGAGAUCCAGAUACAAUGUUCAUGCUCAAACUUGGCACUAAAUAACAAUUAUUAAGGUUCAAAACUAAUCCCGUAGGUAAAUGUAGAGGCAGCGUGCCGACGGCGAUCACAUCGACUCUGGAACCAUUCCCGACGCGCAUCGUCACCUCGUCCUUCGCCAGUNNNNNNNNNNNNNNNNNNNNNNNNNNNNNNNNNNNNNNNNNNNNNNNNNNNNNNNNNNNNNNNNNNNNNNNNNNNNNNNNNNNNNNNNNNNNNNNNNNNNNNNNNNNNNNNNNNNNNNNNNNNNNNNNNNNNNNNNNNNNNNNNNNNNNNNNNNNNNNNNNNNNNNNNNNNNNNNNNNNNNNNNNNNNNNNNNNNNNNNNNNNNNNNNNNNNNNNNNNNNNNNNNNNNNNNNNNNNNNNNNNNNNNNNNNNNNNNNNNNNNNNNNNNNNNNNNNNNNNNNNNNNNNNNNNNNNNNNNNNNNNNNNNNNNNNNNNNNNNNNNNNNNNNNNNNNNNNNNNNNNNNNNNNNNNNNNNNNNNNNNNNNNNNNNNNNNNNNNNNNNNNNNNNNNNNNNNNNNNNNNNNNNNNNNNNNNNNNNNNNNNNNNNNNNNNNNNNNNNNNNNNNNNNNNNNNNNNNNNNNNNNNNNNNNNNNNNNNNNNNNNNNNNNNNNNNNNNNNNNNNNNNNNNNNNNNNNNNNNNNNNNNNNNNNNNNNNNNNNNNNNNNNNNNNNNNNNNNNNNNNNNNNNNNNNNNNNNNNNNNNNNNNNNNNNNNNNNNNNNNNNNNNNNNNNNNNNNNNNNNNNNNNNNNNNNNNNNNNNNNNNNNNNNNNNNNNNNNNNNNNNNNNNNNNNNNNNNNNNNNNNNNNNNNNNNNNNNNNNNNNNNNNNNNNNNNNNNNNNNNNNNNNNNNNNNNNNNNNNNNNNNNNNNNNNNNNNNNNNNNNNNNNNNNNNNNNNNNNNNNNNNNNNNNNNNNNNNNNNNNNNNNNNNNNNNNNNNNNNNNNNNNNNNNNNNNNNNNNNNNNNNNNNNNNNNNNNNNNNNNNNNNNNNNNNNNNNNNNNNNNNNNNNNNNNNNNNNNNNNNNNNNNNNNNNNNNNNNNNNNNNNNNNNNNNNNNNNNNNNNNNNNNNNNNNNNNNNNNNNNNNNNNNNNNNNNNNNNNNNNNNNNNNNNNNNNNNNNNNNNNNNNNNNNNNNNNNNNNNNNNNNNNNNNNNNNNNNNNNNNNNNNNNNNNNNNNNNNNNNNNNNNNNNNNNNNNNNNNNNNNNNNNNNNNNNNNNNNNNNNNNNNNNNNNGAGUUACUACGAGUACUGGUAAUGUACACAUCAAUCACAUGUAUAUCAAAUAUACCUUUGGUGUUGCCGGCCUUCUUAUCCGCUAAGUAUUUGGGGCAGUUCCGCUUCUAGUGACCCUUCCCCUUGCAAUAAAAGCACUCAGUCUCAGGCUUGGGUCCAUUCUUUGACUUCUUCCCGGUAACUGGCUUACCAGGCGCGGCAACAUCUUUGCCGUCCUUCUUGAAGUUCUUCUUACCCUUGCCCUUCUUGAACUUAGUGGUCUUAUUGACCAUCAACACUUGAUGUUCUUUCUUGAUUUCAACCUCUGCUGACUUCAGCAUCGAGAACACUUCAGGAAUGGUCUUUUCCAUCCCCUGCAUGUUGUAGUUCAUCACAAAGCUCUUGUAGCUUGGUGGGAGCGACUGGAGGAUUCUGUCAAUGACCGCCUCAUCUGGGAGGUUAAUGUUCAGCUGGGUCAUACGGCUGUGCAACCCAGACAUCUUCAGGAUGUGCUCACUGACAGAACUGUUUUCCUCCAUCUUACAACUGUAGAACUUGUCGGAGACGUCAUAUCUCUCGACCCGGGCAUGAGCUUGAAAAACUAGUUUCAGCUCUUCGAACAUCUCAUAUGCUCCGUGGUGUUCAAAACGCUUUUGGAACCCCGGUUCUAAGCUGUAAAGCAUGCCGCACUGAACGAGGGAGUAAUCAUCAGCACGAGACUGCCAAGCAUUCAUAAUGUCUUGGUUCUCUGGGACGGGAGCGUCACCUAGCGGUCCUUCUAGGACCUAUUGUUUCCUGGAAGCUAUGAGGAUGAUCCUCAGGUUCCGGACCCAGUCCGUAUAGUUGCUGCCAUCAUCUUUCAGCUUGGUUUUCUCUAGGAACGCGUUGAAGUUCAUGUUGACAUUAGCGUUGGCCAUUGAUCUACAAGACAUAUUUGCAAAGGUUUUAGACUAAGUUCAUGAUAAUAAAGUUCUAAUCAAAUUAUGAACUCCCACUUAGAUUAGACAUCCCUCUAGUCAUCUAAGUGUUACACGAUCCGAGUCGACUAGCCCGUGUCCGAUCAUCACGUGAGACGGACUAGUCAUCGUCGGUGAACAUUCUCAUGUUGAUCGUAUCUUCCAUACGAUUCGUGUUCGACCUUUCGGUCUCCGUGUUCCGAGGCCAUGUCUGCACAUGCUAGGCUCGUCAAGUGAACCCUAAGUGUUUUUGCUGUGUAAAACUGUCUUACACCCGUUGUAUGUGAACGUAAGAAUCCAUCACACCCGAUCAUCACGUGGUGCUUAGAAGCGACGAACUGUAGCAAUGGUGCACAGUUAGGGGAGAACACUUCUUGAAAUUUUAUAAGGGAUCAUCUUAUUUACUACCGUCGUCCUAAGUAAACAAGAUGCAUAAUACACAAUAAACAUCACAUGCAAUUAUAUAGUUGUGACAUGAUAUGGCCAAUAUCAUAUAGCUCCAUUGAUCUUCAUCUUCGGGGCUCCAUGAUCAUCUUGUCACCGUCUUGACACCAUGAUCUCCAUCAUCAUGAUCUCCAUCAUCGUGUCUUCAUGAAGUUGUCACGCCAACGACUACUUCUACUUCUAUGACUAACGUUUAGCAAUAAAGUAAAGUAGUUUACAUGGCGUUAUUCAAUGACACGCAGGUCAUACAAAAAAUAAAGACAACUCCUAUGGCUCCUGCCGGUUGUCAUACUCCUCGACAUGCAAGUCGUGAAUCCUAUUACAAAGAACAUGAUCUCAUACAUCACAAUUCAUCAUUCAUCACAACUUCUGGCCAUAUCACAUCACAUGAUCAAUCGCUGCAAAAACAAGUUAGACGUCCUCUAAUUGUUGUUGCAUCUUUUACGUGGCUGCAAUUGGGUUCUAGCAAGAAUGUUUUCUUACCUACGAAUCACCACAACGUGAUUUUGUCAACUUCUAUUUACCCUUCAUAAGGGCCCUGUUCAUCGAUUCCGCUCCAACUAAAGUGGGAGAGACAGACACCCGCCAGCCACCUUAUGCAACUAGUGCAUGUUAGUCGGUGGAACCGGUCUCACGUAAGCGUACGUGUAAGGUUGGUCCGGGCCGCUUCAUCCCACAAUACCGUUGAGCAAGAAAAGACUAGUAGAGGCAAGUAAGAUGACAAAAUCCACGCCCACAACAAAAUUGUGUUCUACUCGUGCAAAGAGAACUACGCAUAGACCUAGCUCAUGAUGCCACUGUUGGGGAACGUUGUAGAAAACUAAAAAUUUUCCUACGGUUUCACCAAGAUCCAUCUAUGAGUUCAUCUAAUCAACGAGUCAAGGGAGAGAGUUUGCAUCUACAUACCACUUGUAGAUCGCGUGCGGAAGCUUGCAAGGUGAUGAUGUAGUCGUACUCGACGUGAUUCGAAUCACCGAUGACCAAGUGCUGAACAGACAGCACCUCCGCGUUCAACACACGUACGGGACGGGAGACGUCUCCUCCUUCUUGAUCCAGCAAGGGGGAAGGAGAGGUUGAUGAAGACAGCUCCACCGGCAGCACGACGACGUGGUGAUGGUGGAGAGGCAGUACUCCGACAGGGCUUCGCCAAGCACACAACGGAGGAGGAGAGGUAUUGGGGAGGGGAGGGCUGCGCCUUGGAGGGUGGUACGGCUGCCCUCCCCUCACCCCUCUAUUUAUAGGGGGAAGGGAGAGGGGGCCGGCCCCCUAGAACCCAUCUAGGGGGGGUGCGGCGGCCUAGGGGAGAGGGGAGAGGGUGGCUUGCCCCCCAAGCCAAGGGGGCGCCCCCUCUAGGGUUCCCCCCCUCAACGCUAGGCGCAUGGGCCCAAGGGAGGGGGUGCGGCCAGCCCACCAGGGGCUGGCUCCCUGCCCCACGCAGCCCAUGUGGCCCCCCCCGGGAGGGGUGGCCCCUCCCGGUGGACCCCCGGAACCCUUCCGGUGGCCCCGGUACAAUACCGGUAUGACCCCGAAACUUCCCGGUGUCUGUUUGACAACUUCCCAUAUAUAAAUCUUUACCUCCGGAUCCUUCCGGAUCUCCUCGUGACGUCCAGGAUCCCAUCCGGGACUCCGAACAACAUUCGGUAGUCACAUACUAGUCUUCCUAAUAACCCUAGCGUCACCGAACCUUAAGUGUGUAGACCCUACGGGUUCGGGAGACAUGCAGACAUGACCGAGACGCUCUCAGUCAAUAACCAACAGCGGGAUCUGGAUACCCAUGAUGGCUCCCACAUGCUCCUCGAUGUUGUCAUCGGAUGAACCACGAUGUCGAGGAUUCGAUCAAACCCUGUAUGCAAUCCCCUUUGUCAAUCGGUACGUUACUUGCCGGAGACUCGAUCGUCGGUAUCCCAAUACCUUGUUCAGUCUCGUUAUCGGCAAGUCACUUUACUCGUACCGUAAUGCAUGAUCCCGUGUCCAACACCUUGGUCACAUUGAGCUCAUUAUGAUGAUGCAUUACCGAGUGGGCCCAGAGAUACCUCUCCGUCAUACGGAGUGACAAAUCCCAGUCUCGAUCCGUGUCAACCCAACAACUACUUUCGGAGAUACCUGUAAUGCACCUUUAUAGUCACCCAGUUACGUUGUGACAUUUGAUACACCCAAGGCACUCUUACGGUAUCCGGGAGUUACACGAUCUCAUGGUCGAAGGAAGAGAUACUUGACACUGGCAAAGCUCUAGCAAAACGAACUACACGAUCUUUUAUGCUAUGCUUAGGAUUGGGUCUUGUCCAUCACAUCAUUCUCCUAAUGAUGUGAUCCCGUUAUCAAUGACAUCCAAUGUCCAUAGUCAGGAAACCAUGACUAUCUGUUGAUCACAACGAGCUGGUCAACUAGAGGCUCACCAGGGACAUAUUGUGGUCUAAGUAUUCACACGUGUAUUACGAUUUCCGGAUAAUACAAUUAUAGCAUGAAUAAAAGACAUUUAUCAUGAACAUUGAAAUAUAAUAAUACUUUUAUUAUUGCCUCUAGGGCAUAUUUCCAACAGAUAUCUUCAAUAACUCAGCUUGGAAUCAGGUCAUUUGCUUGUCCUUCUUUGGAUGCUUUCUUGUGUGUUUAUGAUAUGACAUUUCACUUCAGAUUCUUCACCAUCGUAGAGUUUCAUAGAUCAUCGUGCCUUAAUUUCAUCAAAACAGCCUCGCAAUCUCCAUUCUUGUUCUUGAUUUAUUAACUUUUUAUUGAUCUUGGUUUUACCUCGUAACCAACUUCUUCCUUGCGAGUGCCUUUUUCUACCGAUGAGGAAUUAAGGCCAAAUAUUCAUAAUUAUACUGAAGUAUGUUUUUUUUUGUUGUUGCAACAGAGAUACCUUGUGGUAACACGAUCACCAAUUCUUGGGGGCCUUGCGGCAAUGCGCGACUCAGAAAUAGAUUACACAGUUGAGGCCAUUAUGGUGAACCCUUAGAAUGAAAGCCCCUGGAGAUACCUCAGAGGUUUAUAUAAGGAUGAUAACAAUUUGCUGGUGGCUCCUAAUCGCAUUUCUGAUGCUUGCCUCAAGGUCCUGAAUAAGGACUAGACAUGUGUAUUUGCUUUGAGCUUCCUGCUUGAUCUUCUUCGCAUGGGUUUGUAGCCUUCAGAUGAUCUUAAAGGAACCAUUGAAGCAAUGGAGAACUCUGAUCCUGAAACGGGACAUGCUGAUAUUGCAGUAGCUGUCUGCUCAAUUCUGCAGAAAUGUGAUCCCCUGCAGAUAAACUACUGGUCAUGGUACCAGACCACUCUUUCUUCUUAGACAUUUGAAAAUUCAGCUGAAGAUAGUUUUAGCAGCAUGAUGUAAACUCAAUCGAAGGGGUUGACGCAGUGUAUGAAAAACCUUUCCUGUGAUCUUGGCGCGGAGCAAAAUUUGUACUGAUUUUACCGGGAAAAAUCAAUCAAUGACAGCAUGCCCAACAAUGUCUUGUGUGAAUAUGUUAGUGCCUGAUAUUCACAUGUUAGCAGAAUGAGAAUAAACAACCAAACUCCAAUGAGCAGAUUGUUACAGUAACGGCCACUGGUGGUGUGAAAAUCCUGAAAUCUGCUUCAGUCACUUUGCCUUGUUUACAGUUGAGUCUGUUGUUGUGAUCUGUACCUAAUGCAUGUACACGAUCAUCAAAUUAUUAGUUUUUGUACCAAUGUGUGCUCGAUGUAAUCAUCCUGUAUUCCCUCCUUCCAAAAUACGAGUAAUAUAUAUUAGUUUUGUCUUAAUUUGAACUUACAUCAACACCUACAAUACCCAAUCAGUAUCAGUAGAUGCACCUGUUUUUGUAGUGUAUUUAUUUGGUAUUGUAAGUGCUUGUAUUUCUCUUUUUUUU